AGAGUUUGAUCCUGGCUCAGAACGAACGCUGGCGGCGUGCUUAACACAUGCAAGUCGAACGUGAUCCAGAGCUUGCUCUGGCGAAAGUGGCGCACGGGUGAGUAACGCGUGGAUAACCUGCCCUGGUAUCUGGGAUAACAUCUCGAAAGGGGUGCUAAUACCGGAUAAGCCUACGGACUCCUCGGAGUCUGCAGGAAAAGGAGGCCUCUAUUUAUAAGCUUCCGUAUCAUGAUGGGUCCGCGUACCAUUAGCUAGUUGGUGGGGUAAUGGCCUACCAAGGCGACGAUGGUUAGCUGGUCUGAGAGGAUGAUCAGCCACUCUGGAACUGAGACACGGUCCAGACUCCUACGGGAGGCAGCAGUGGGGAAUUUUGCGCAAUGGGGGAAACCCUGACGCAGCAACGCCGCGUGAGUGAUGAAGGCUUUCGGGUCGUAAAGCUCUGUCAGAGGGGAAGAAAUGAAACGUGCUAAUAUCACGUUUUCUUGACGGUACCCUCAAAGGAAGCACCGGCUAACUCCGUGCCAGCAGCCGCGGUAA
rnacentral:rRNA from 1 species